UCCCGAUUUCCUCGUCCCCCAUUCCACCGACCAAACCCUCCGUCCUCGCCGGCCGCCGGCCAUGGAGAAGGCCACGGCACCCACCGCCAAGAACCGCGAACCCGGCGGAGCCGCCGGAGGCAUUCCACGGAAGCGGGGUCAGAGUGACAACUGCUACGGCGAUAUCAUAAGCGGUCUCCCCGACGCCAUCCUGGGCACCAUCAUCUCCCUCCUCCCCACCAAGGAGGGCGCCCGCACGCAGGCCAUCUCUCGCCGGUGGCGCCACCUCUGGCGCUCCGCCCCCCUGAACCUCGAGGUCGCUCCCAGCCUCUGCGCCAACCUCAGUGAGCUCGCCUCCUUCCUCUCCAAAAUCCUCUCCGAGCACCCCGGCCCCGCACGCCGCUUCCGCUGCCCCUCCAUCCACCUCGGCGACAGCUACGCACAGGUCGACGGCUGGCUCCGCUCCCAGGCCCUCACCAACCUCCAGGAGCUCGACAUCAGAUUCGUUCGUCCGUCGCCGCGGCCCGAGACGGAUCACGCGCUGGCGUCGUCUCUGUACCGCCUGGCAUCCACCCUCGUCGUGGCCAAAAUCGGCGGCUGCAAUUUCUCCAAAGAGGUCGUGCCACUGUCGAAUUUCCCCUACCUGAAGGACCUCACACUACACUACGUUUCCUUGUCGGAGGAGUUCCUACAUGGCAUGCUCUCUAGCUGCAAGGCCUUGGAGAACCUGCUGCUCUGGAACAUCUUUGUUGUCGGCCACCUCCGCAUUAGCUCACCGACUCUUCGGCGCAUUGGCUUCUCCGUUUGUGCUGGUCACAAAGAGCUUGUCAUUGAGGAUGUGCCUCGCCUUGAAAGGUUGCUGCUACCUUCUUGGGGCAGAGGCGGUGGGACUAUUCAGUUAAUCCGGGCACCUAAACUGGAGAUGUUAGGCCCUUUGUCAGCUGGUGUUGCAGUAUUCCAGGGAACGAUGCCGAUCAGCUUGACAAACUUGAUGCACACUGUGAAGGCUUUAGCUCUCACUUCUGGCCCUCGACUGAAUGUUGUUCUUGACAUCCUCAAGUGCUUCCCCUGCUUGGAAAGGCUCUACGUUGUUCUGCAGAAAAAUUCAAAGAUGGAUGUGAAAGACGUGUCUCUAUAUGGUCCACUAGAUUCAGUCGAAUGUCUUGGGACCCAUCUCAAAGAAUUGGUGAUACUGAAUUACGAAGGCUGUGGGCAGGAUGUUGGCUUUGCCAAGUUCUUUGUUUUGAAUGCAGUGGUCCUAAAGAAAAUCAAAUUUGGAGUCCCUAAGAACAACAACGGUGACUGGGUGGCUAUUCAACUGGAUUUGCUGCAAGUGGAGAAUAGGGCUUCUCAAGAUGCUCAAUUUGAUUUCAAAUGUGGUUUGGAUGAUGUCAUUAACUACCUGCGUGUCCAUGACUUGUCAUUGACCGAUCCUUUCGACUGCUUGUUUUCUGAAUGAGCAGAGAACACGUCGAGGACUCAACUGCAUAUGGAGACAUUUACAUCAGGGUGUCAUGUUGAACAAGUGUUCUGCCGUAAUACCGAUAAGUGGGCCAUUUCCUUCUAGGUGUUUCCCUGAAUUCAGUUAGAAAAUGCCUUACUACUUACUACCAUGUGCAAUGUGGAACAUAUGCUGCGUGGAAGUGGAACCAUAUGUAGUGGUUCAUAAUGCCUUGAUACCGUUCACCAGAUGCAUCAGUUGUCACAAACCAUGUGAAGUGCUCAGACGUUUCUCAGUUUUAAAAUUUAAAGUUAGACAGAGAUCCUGUCUAAACAUGGAAUGGUCCCAAUCAUCUUGGCACCAUCAUCUCAACACUGUCAAAUACGCACCGUGAAGGUUUCGGCUCUCCAGUCUUUUCGCCCUCAAAGGAUGCAGUUCUUGAUGUCUUGAGGGAAUGUCCCCAGUCAGCUUGGCAAACUCAAUAUGCACUGUGAAGGUUCUGGCUCUCUACUCUUCUGGCUCUCAGUUGAAUGCAGUUCUAAACAUCCUCAGGUGCUUUCCCCGCUUGGAAAAGCUCUAUUUCACUUUGAAGAAACACCCAAAGAUGGAUAUGAAAAAUGUGCACCUGUGUGACCCACUAGAUCCAAUCGAAUGCCUCGCGAUCCAUCUAAAAAAAUUGGUGUUUGAAAAUUACAAAGGCCGUCACCAAGAUGCUGACUUUGCCAAAUUCUUUAUUUUGACUGCAAAAGUGCUGAAGGAAAUCAAAAUUUCAAGCCCUAAGGGCAACGAUAUUAAAUGGGUGGACGAUCAACACAAGCUGCUACAAGUGGAAGAUAGAGCUUCUCGAGAUGCUGAACCUGAAUUCAGAAGUGAGUUUAGCUGUUUGGGUAAAACCAAACAGAUUCAUGAUUUAUUGGAUGAUCCCUUCGACUGCUCGUGUUGUAGAAUUAAAUGCAAUGUUCUUUCAGGUGAAUCAUGUCCAUGAUUCGUCAAUGGCCGAUCUUUUCAAAUCCUUGUGUCAUAGACAGGGUUAAUGCCCGAAUAUUGUGUAGUCUUUGCCCCUUCUUUAGAAGGGAUAUAUGCUCGAAAAUUGUAUUAUCUUUUUUCUAAACUCAAAUUUAUGGCUGCUCGAUCUCUGGUUAGAAGUUAUUUCCUGUGUUC